CAGCCGCCGCGGUAAUACGUAGGGUGCAAGCGUUAAUCGGAAUUACUGAGCGUAAAGCGUGCGCAGGCGGUUCUAUAAGACAGAUGUGAAAUCCCCGGGCUCAACCUGGGAACUGCAUUUGUGACUGUAGAGCUGGAGUGCGGCAGAGGGGGAUGGAAUUCCGCGUGUAGCAGUGAAAUGCGUAGAUAUGCGGAGGAACACCGAUGGCGAAGGCAAUCCCCUGGGCCUGCACUGACGCUCAUGCACGAAAGCGUGGGGAGCAAACAGGAUUAGAUACCCGUGUAGUCCCUGUCUCUUAUAC
rnacentral:rRNA from 1 species